UAAUGCAGGCAUUGUGACCACAGUGUUAGGCUCCUGCUGACCAUCUGACCAUAUGUCAGAAGGAGGAUGGUCUGCUUACUGCGGUUGGCCAUGGGUAACUGAGGCUCAGAAGGCAAAACUGAAGAUAAGGGGGGCUGCCAUCACAGCAGAUGAAUGGGCGACCCAGGAAAACUGCACUCAAAGAAACGUCUUGUAACAGUUCUAACUUUGGUUUGGCAUGUCACCUCUGUAACGAUAUCAGGGAGAGGAAAUAUUCCGUCAAAGCUGUGAGCAUGGAAGGAAACAGCCUGGAUGGUGUCCAAAGACACACAGUAUCUUAGCAACUUCUGAAGUUCAGAAAAGCCAACAUUUCAGUUUGGGAAGCCGUCUGGUAGAAGUUCCGUCCUACCCCACCACAAUCACUGAAAGACACACCUUAAGGUGGAAGUGGCCAUCGUUUCAGGAUCUACUACCCAAGCUGCUGAAAUGAAGUGGCUGUCAGGGGCAGGCAGCUCUUGUCAAGAAAACAAAGCAAAACACUACGGCCAGAAACAUAUGAAAAUAGGGAUAACCAGGAGUCUAGAAAAGCUUUCCUAGCUUCCUUUGGAGCAAGGGACAGCCACG